UUUAGAGGAAGUAAAAGUCGUAACAAGGUUUCCGUAGGUGAACCUGCGGAAGGAUCAUUAUUGAAACAUUGUAAAGAUUGGUUGAGCUGGCUCUUCACGGGCAAGUGCUCGCCUUUCUUUCAAUCUUCAUCCACCUGUGCACUUUUUGUAGAGAGGACUGAGAACGUACCUUGUAACAGAGGCACAAGUAUCAGGCUUCUCUAUGUUUUACACACUCAAAUGUAUGUCUUUGAAUGUCUUUUAUAGGGACUUAAUUGGCCCUUUAAAAACAAAUACAACUUUCAGCAACGGAUCUCUUGGCUCUCGCAUCGAUGAAGAACGCAGCGAAAUGCGAUAAGUAAUGUGAAUUGCAGAAUUCAGUGAAUCAUCGAAUCUUUGAACGCACCUUGCGCCUCUUGGUAUUCCGAGAGGCAUGCCUGUUUGAGUGUCAUUAAAUUCUCAACCUCAAAAGCUUUCGCUUUCUGAGGCUUGGAUGUGGAGGCUUGCUGGCUCGCAUUAGAGUCAGCUCCUCUUAAAUGCAUUAGUGGAAACUGUUUUGUAGUCCGCAUUAGUGUGAUAAUUAUCUACGCUAUUGUAGCUACAAGCUCUGUAGUUCGAAAGAACUGCAUGAGUCAAGUAUCUGCUUCAAACCGUCCUAAGCAUUGGACAAUUUUUGAACCUUUUGACCUCAAAUCAGGUAGGGCUACCCGCUGAACUUAAGCAUA
rnacentral:rRNA from 1 species